rnacentral:rRNA from 1 species
GACGUAGGGCGCGAGCGUUGUCCGGAUUUAUUGGGCGUAAAGAGCUCGUAGGCGGCUUGUUGCGUCGACUGUGAAAACCCGCGGCUUAACUGCGGGCUUGCAGUUGAUACGGGCAGGCUAGAGUUCGGGUAGGGGAGACUGGAAUUCCUGGUGUAGCGGUGAAAUGCGCAGAUAUCAGGAGGAACACCGGUGGCGAAGGCGGGUCUCUGGGCCGAUACUGACGCUGAGGAGCGAAAGCGUGGGGAGCGAACAGG